AUGGGAACGCGAAGAACCUUACCUAGACUUGACAUCUUCUGCAUUAAUCGUAAUGGAUGAAAUCCCUUCGGGGACAGAAUGACAGGUGGUGCAUGGUUGUCGUCAGCUCGUGUCGUGAGAUGUUGGGUUAAGUCCCGCAACGAGCGCAACCCCUAUUAUUAGUUGCUAACAUUAAGUUGAGCACUCUAGUGAGACUGCCCGGGGUUAACCGGGAGGAAGGCGGGGAUGACGUCAAAUCAUCAUGCCCCUUAUGUCUAGGGCAACACACGUGCUACAAUGGUGAGUACAGAUAGAUGCGAUACCGCAAGGUGGAGCCAAACUCUAAAACUCAUCCCAGUUCGGAUUGUAGGCUGCAACUCGCCUACAUGAAGUUGGAGUUGCUAGUAAUCGCGAAUCAGAAUGUCGCGGUGAAUACGUUCCCGGGUCUUGUACACACCG
rnacentral:rRNA from 1 species